GAUGAAGAACGUAGCGAAAUGCGAUAAGUAAUGCGAAUUGCAGAAUUCAGUGAAUCAUCGAAUCUUUGAACGCACAUUGCGCCCGCCAGUAUUCUGGCGGGCAUGCCUGUUCGAGCGUCAUUUCAACCAUCAAGCCCCCGGCUUGUGUUGGGGACCUGCGGCUGCCGCAGGCCCUGAAAUGCAGUGGCGGGCUCGCUGUUACUCCGAGCGUAGUAGUUACAUCUCGCUCUGGGCGUGCUGCGGGUUCCGGCCGUUAAAAGCCUUAUUUACCCAAGGUUGACCUCGGAUCAGGUAGGAAGACCCGCUGAACUUAAGCAUAUCAAUAAGCGGAGGA
rnacentral:misc_RNA from 1 species